UUUUUUUUUUUUUUUUUUUUUUUUUGAGACAGGGUUUCUCUGUGUAGCCCUGGCUGUCCUGGCACUCACUUUGUAGACCAGGUUGGCCUCGAACUCAUACAUCCGCCUGCCUCUGCCUCCCAAGUGCUGGGAUUAAAGGCAUACACCACCACCGCCCAGCUAAGCUGUCCCUUAAAGAAGUAAAGUUUCUUGGGGUCUUUUUCUUUUCUGCCCUGACGGAAUGAGGCCCAGGGAAAGCAAUGCCUGCCUCUGGACCUCAUGGACUGGGUCAGGAGCCAUUUCUGCCCCAGGUAGUUGUCCUCAUGUGCACUUUCUUUUGGAGCCACUUGGACCCUCCUCCAGGGUCUCUGGGCUUGUGCUUGGGAACAAAACUAGGCUUCUGUGAGAUGGGGUGAGAAACUGUGAGAUGUUCCUACAGGAGCCAUUGCUCAAGCUUGCUUCUUAGCUUAUGCCAGCAAACUGCUCUCUUGCUGCAGUGUGGGCUCUGAGCGCUGCUCCUGGCUGAAUGCUUCCACUACAGUGCUCUCAGUCUCUCCUGCCUCUCCUGCUCUCCCAGAAGCCCCUCCUCACACCCCCUCUGCCUCUGCCUGCUAAUUAAGGGCCACUGCAAAGAAAGGCUGGCUGGCCAACCUGCGGGAUUCAGCUCAUGAGAACAAAGCACAAUAUUUCAGGACUGAAAGUGCCUUGCGGUGCCUUGGAACUGGCUUUGGAAAUAGCUGUUUGCCCCUCCAGCUGUGGGCAGACUCAUCACCUAGUCCCACUUUAUCAAAUGGGAGAAGCUGAUUGGGUCCACGUUUCCCUGUGAGUCUCCUUGGGAAAGUUGGAGUGCUACAUACCUACAAGAUCAGGCUAAGCAGGUAGAUAGGUGGAAAUACCAACCAGGUCCAAAGAAGUUAAUCCCAGGCCAUAGGAAUGGCUUGGUGCAGUUGGAACGGGUGACAAAUUAAGAGAACUUUUUUCCUACAUAUGUCUUAAGAAUAGACAGCCUUGCUGUGCCUCCUGCUGAUGUCUUCCUUUAUUGAAGCUUGCUGAUGCGAUUGUACAUAGCCUUUCUAUACAGGUAGAGAUAUAUUAUAUAUAUACAUAUAAAACAUCUCACUAUGCCCACCCCAAAAGUUACACUGUGGGGUGGAGGGUGAAAUCACCUCUCAGUGUUUCCAAGUACCAAAGGUUCAUUAUGGAAUGUUCUUUAUGCUUUUUAGGGGAGAACCCAGCUGCAUACAUAGCAAGUGCUUAUGCAGGUCUAGGUACUACUUCCUGUCUGUUGGUUGGGAGGGGAGAGAAGCUUAAAUGGUCUUCUGUGACCCAGCUGCGGGGGCAGGCUGGAUUUCUAUAGCAGUUUGUCAGAUUGCUUGGAUCUAUUGGCUGCAAUAAACACACUGUCUCCCCG
rnacentral:lncRNA from 1 species